rnacentral:piRNA from 1 species
UGACAAGAUGCGACGGACAUGACCUC